CCAUGCUGGACCUUGGCACUGGGAGAAUUCACAGGAGUUGGUUAUCAUACCCGUGAAUUUCCCGAUGCCUCAGUUUAGUGUGC
rnacentral:pre_miRNA from 1 species